rnacentral:rRNA from 1 species
CAAUAGCGUAUAUUUAAGUUGCUGCAGUUAAAAAGCUCGUAGUUGGAUUUCGGGUGGGAAUGGCCGGUCCGCCGUUUCGGUGUGCACUUGCUACGCCCACCUUGCUGCCGGGGACGUGCUUUUGAGUUCACGCUCGGGACACGGAGUCGGCGAGGUUACUUUGAGUAAAUUAGAGUGUUCAAAGCAGGCCUACGCUCUGAAUACAUUAGCAUGGAAUAACACGAUAGGACUCUGGCCUAUCUUGUUGGUCUGUAGGACCGGAGUAAUGAUUAAGAGGGACAGUCGGGGGCAUUCGUAUUUCAUUGUCAGAGGUGAAAUUCUUGGAUUUAUGAAAGACGAACUACUGCGAAAGCAUUUGCCAAGGAUGUUUUCAUUGA